AGAGAGAUAAGUUGAUAUAUUAAGAUUACUAUAUUAUUAUAACAUUAUAGAGACGCUAAUUCAUAUUGUUGAAAGUAAAUAAAAUAUAUAAAAGGUAUAAGGUUUCAUGCUAUUUGUGUUACGGUAGCGUUAAUAUAAUUUGAACCCGAAGCCUAAAGGUUGAAAAUAUACCUAAUUGGAAAAUAUAUUUGACGCAUAAAUAACGCACCAUAACACUUACUAUUGCUACUUUUGAAAAUUUCAAGGUUGUUUAAAACAAGAAUGAGUGCUUUUAAAAGUUUUACUUAGCCGGUAAUGUUUGCUUUGCAUGGUCGAAUAGAAAAUUAUAAUUUUGUCUUCUACCGUCAC